rnacentral:tRNA from 1 species
GCUUCUAUCGUUUAAUUAGGUUAAGACACUGUUUUUUCGAAGCAAUAAUGUGAGUUCAAAUCUCAUUGGAAGUA